UCUGCUUUAAAAGAGAACAAAAUGUUUCCUAUUCAAGAAGCGUUACUAUUUGGGAAGCCUUUUAUAUAAAAAUCCUCCAUUUCUUUGACAUGACUUUGUCAUUUUUAAUAGGUGCUAUGAUGGUUAAUAUUAAGUGUCAACUUGAUUGGAUUGAAGCACGGAAAGUAUUGUUUCUGGAUGUAUCUGGGUGUUUCUGGGCGUUGCUGGAAGAGAUUAACAUUUGAGCCAGUGGACGGGGAGAAGCAGACCCACCCUCAAUGUGGGUGGGCACCAUAAAAUCAGCUGCCAGCGCAGCUAGAAAAACAGGAAGAAGCUAACUUGCUUAGUUUUCCCAACUUCAUCUUUCUUCCAUGCUGGAUGCUUCCUGCCCUUGAACAUCAGACUCUAAAUUCUUCAGCUUUUGAACUUUUGGACUUACAUCAUUGGUUUACCAGGCAGGGACCUUCAGCCUUUGGCUACAGACUGAAGGCUGCACUGUCAGCUUCCCUACUUUUGAGGUUUAGGGACUCGGACUGAGCCACUACUGGCUUCCUUGCUCCUCAGCUUGCAUAUGGCCUAUCGUGGGACUUCACCUUGUGAUCAUGUAAGUCAAUUCUCCUUAAUAAAAUCCCUUUCAUAUAUACAUAUAUCCUAUUAGUUCUGUCCCUCUAGAGAACCCUGACUAAUACAGGUGUGUUCCAGGAAAGACUGCUAACAGUACACUGGGAAAGGUGGAUGACAGAACCAGCUGACCCAGCUUUGGAUAACCUUGGCCAUUUUACAUGGUUCACGUGAGAAGUAUAUACAAGGAAUAUAUAAUGCUCAGCAUAGUAUGUCAUCCAUAGUAGAUAGUAAAUAAAUGCAAAUGAGUUAUUUUUAAUUCACUCUCCCACAUCUCACUGUUGGAGUCAAAUUACUUAGUCCAUGCCCUAUAUUUUGUAUUUUGGGGGAGAAAAAAUAUAUUAUGUAUUUUUUCAUCUCAUUUUGCAAAGUGGAGAACUCUCAGUAGAGAAUGAUCAUCCAGCUGUCUUUGAGAGCAAGAAGAAAAUCCUGUUUAUCAUACUUUUAUUGCUUAAUCCUUGUUGAAAAGUUUCCCAGUGGAAGGUUCUGUUUGUUUUUCUGCAGUGGGAAAAAGUUUAACAAACUCAAUGACACAGUCAUGUGCUCAUGGUCACACACACCAUCUCCAGGGGUCUAAUCUGAGGAUUUGGUGGAAGCUUCUGCCUGUGGUCAGCAAACUGUGGAAGCUCUUCCAAGGAUGCUCUUUACUGGACAACGCAGGAGGAAUGUAGAAUCACAAACUGACUUCACCGCCAGUGAAGCAAACUUUGGGUGCAACAUUCAAGAGUGGGACUGGCCUUCUGGGUCUUGAUUUUAGCCAAAUACUUCUUCUCUAGAUGUCUCCUUUUCUAAAUGAGCCAAAAACUUCUAGGGCUGCUGUCACCAGAUGAUUACUAGCACAUAAUCUUAGAUGGUCCAAUUGGUGGAAGUGGGGUUACAACCUGGCGCAUCUAACUUCAAAGACUGUUCCUUCCUACCGACUCCACUCCAGUCCUAAAUUAUU
rnacentral:lncRNA from 1 species